GACGAACGCUGGCGGCGUGCUUAACACAUGCAAGUCGAACGGUAAGGCCCUUCGGGGUACACGAGUGGCGAACGGGUGAGUAACACGUGGGUGAUCUGCCCUGCACUUCGGGAUAAGCCUGGGAAACUGGGUCUAAUACCGGAUAGGACCCUGGGAUGCAUGUCCUGGGGUGGAAAGCUUUUGCGGUGUGGGAUGGGCCCGCGGCCUAUCAGCUUGUUGGGGGGGUGAUGGCCUACAAAGGCGACGACGGGUAGCCGGCCUGAGAGGGUGACCGGACAGACUGGGACUGAGGUACGGCCCAGACUCCUACGGGAGGCAGCAGUGGGGAAUAUUGCAUAAUGGGCGCAAGCCUGAUGCAGCGACGCCGCGUGAGGGAUGACGGCCUUCGGGUUGUAAACCUCUUUCAGCACCGACGAAGCGCAAGUGACGGUAGGUGCAGAAGAAGGACCGGCCAACUACGUGCCAGCCGCCGCGGUAA
rnacentral:rRNA from 1 species